rnacentral:rRNA from 1 species
AUUGAACGCUAGCGGGAUGCUUUACACAUGCAAGUCGAACGGAGUGGCGGACGGGUGAGUAAUAUAUCGGAACGUGCCCAGUGGAGGGGGCUAACUCCUCGAAAGAGUGGCUAAUACCGCAUACUAUUAGAGCGGCCGAUAUCGGAUUAGCUAGUUGGUGGGGUAAAGGCUCACCAAGGCAACGAUCCGUAGCUGGUAUGAGAGGACGACCAGCAACACUGGGACUGAGACACGGCCCAGACUCAUACGGGAGGCAGCAGUGGGGAAUAUUGGACAAUGGGGGAAACCCUGAUCCAGCCAUGCCGCGUGUAUGAAGAAGGCCUUCGGGUUGUAAAGUACUUUUAGCGGGGAAGCGGUAUCUGCAGAAUAAGCACCGGCUAACUACGUGCCAGCAGCCGCGGUAAUUC